UUUUUCCCUUCUAACCACCCGCGCUCUCACACUUUGCCUCCGCUCCGCCGUUUCCAUGGCUCCGGUUUCCUACUUUCCUCUUGUCUCCUCCGUCCUCAGCCUGUUCUGUAAUGUGGGAUUUACUAGAAGAGCAGGGCUGGUGUUCGAGGAGGAGAAGUUGAAAUCCUAGAGGGAGGAAGGCGGGGAAGCCAAUACUACUUGCUAUUUCCACUGCAAUGAACGUCUCUGUGUCAUCAAAAUAAGAACUUCAACCCCAAGGUUGAAACAGCCAAGCAGAAUUUGAUGGAAAUAUAUUUAGGAACAGCUAAAUUAGCAGUGCGACGCGUGUUUUCUUUUCAUUGAAGAAUUCAGCCAGUUAAAACGAGUCUAAAUGGAAGUCUGAAAGCUUUUUCUUCAUUGUUGAGGAAUAAAAUAUUUCGUGUAUUUUUCGUUUUCCAGAUUCAUUCAUUUAACAAAUAUCAGUUGAGCACUUUCCAUGCCGUAGGGCCUGUACAAGGCACAUAGCAUUCUAGACAUCUGAAGCAUCAAAACUAAUCAUUUUUAUUUUGAAGAAAAUCACUCAAAAUAUUUUAUGUACUUUGUGCCUUUCAUGAACAGAAUAUUCCAAGCAUUCUCUGCAAAAUACGCAUGAAAACAAUUGGGAGAGAAGAGGUCAAUUAUCUUUGAGAAGCCCAAUUACAGAAUGAAAUUCAAUUCAUUAUUAAAAAUACAUGGAUCUAAUAAAGAAUAAAUAAUUGGAAAAGAAAAGUUUAAGGAAGAGAGAAACGGGAAUGAGAAACAAUUACUGUGGGCUCCCAAUGGCCUGGAGUGAAUCACCAAAGUAACCUAAACAUGAAGUCAUGAAAAACUAAGUGGAUUCUGCCUUUUAGUACUUCCCAUCAUGGGGGAAGUCACCAGCGACCUCCUUACUGUAUUUUGGAUGAUUCAAGAAAUAGAAAGGUGUCCUACUGACUUCUGAAACAGGGUGUCUUCAUAUUGAUUAGGGUCACCGUAAGCCUGGGAGCUGAUGCUUACUCUCAGGCCAUUCUAAAGUCCUACAGUAUCCAGAUGAGAAACGAGAGAAAGCAUAAGCUUUGGAGUCCAAAGAUCAGGAUUUUAGCGUCAGCACUCCACACCUUAGCUAUACAAUCUCAAAGCAGAUAUAACAUAAAUCUCUUUCAUUGAAUCCCUGUAAUCAUUUUCAGUAAUUGAGUUCAGCUACUUCAGAAGUUUUUCAACAGCACUUUGCCUGCACCUGUGGCCUCAUGGCGCAUUCUCUACAAUCAGUUGACAGAGGAAGAGAAGACUCAGGCCUGGUUUACAGAUGAUUUUGCAUUCUACGCAGAUCUUAUCACAAUGAAUAAUUUGGUCUUGCUCGAUCACCCAGGCUGGAGUGCAGCCUCGACC
rnacentral:lncRNA from 1 species